UGGGGAAUAUUGGGCAAUGGAGGAAACUCUGACCCAGCGACGCCGCGUGCGGGAUGAAGGCUUCGGGUUGUAAACCGCUUUCAGCAGGGAAGAAGCGAAAGUGACGGUACCUGCAGAAGAAGCACCGGCUAACUAUGUGCCAGCAGCCGCGGUAAUACAUAGGGUGCAAGCGUUGUCCGGAAUUAUUGGGCGUAAAGAGCUCGUAGGUGGUUCGUCACGUCGGAUGUGAAACUCUGGGGCUUAACCCCAGACCUGCAUUCGAUACGGGCGAGCUUGAGUAUGGUAGGGGAGUCUGGAAUUCCUGGUGUAGCGGUGGAAUGCGCAGAUAUCAGGAGGAACACCAAUGGCGAAGGCAGGACUCUGGGCCAUUACUGACACUGAGGAGCGAAAGCGUGGGGAGCGAACAGGAUUAGAUACCCUGGUAGUCCACGCCGUAAACGGUGGGCACUAGUUGUGGGGACCUUCCACGGUCUCUGCGACGCAGCUAACGCAUUAAGUGCCCCGCCUGGGGAGUACGAUCGCAAGAUUA
rnacentral:rRNA from 1 species